rnacentral:misc_RNA from 1 species
AGACAGUCACACAAAGGUCCAUGAAUAACUUGUCAUAUCUUUGGCUCUUUGCCAAAAAGUUCUUCUUGCUAAGAAGCCAACAUAGUGAACAUAUCGACAAGAGAAUCAGAACUUCCACCAACUUUCAUCAGAUUAUCAAUAUUGAUGAUCGUCAAUCCACCUACUCAGUUUACUCAUUUGAUGAAUUGGCAUCAAAGCACAUAAACUUGGACCUUAUGGAAAACCAUCUCCAUUGCAUGGCUAUGCAGAUUCCCUGAAUCCACCACAUUGGGCCACUCAUUGAGACAGUGCAUAUCACAGAUACCAAGUCUCUUCUUGCUUCAAAGGAUACACAUUCCACUAAAUCUGUCCAGAAACUCACAUUGUGUUCAUCAGUGACCAAAUAAUUCCUCCAAGCCCAGGCUGCAUUAGUACAAGAUACCUCCCAUUUAUAAUAAACAGCUAAGUUUGUGUAUAUUGGGAGAACAUGGAUAGCUUAAGGGCCCAAAGAUUAAUUUCCCUGAGAAACUGUUACUGCUUUCCCACACAACAAUUUAUUCAUUUAUAAUGAGCAUAUUGCACUCAAAACCUCUGCACAGAAUCAUACCACAGAAUUGAAGAGUAACAAGAAGAGCUGAAAUGCUAAAACAAUUAUUAGUACUCUGCUUACACAAAUUAUUUUCCACACAGACCAUUUUCAUUAGAUAAGGGCGCUAAGAAA